UACAGAGGGGGCAAGCGUUAUUCGGAAUUAUUGGGCGUAAAGGGCGCGUUAGGCGGCUUUUCAAGUGACGGGUGAAAUCCCUCGGCUUAACCGAGGAACGACGCAUGAUACUGGCAAGCUAGAGUACCAAAGAGGGGGGUGGAAUUCCCGGUGUAGCGGUGAAAUGCGUAGAUAUCGAGAGGAACACCUGCGGCGAAGGCGGGUAGCUGGGCCGACACUGACGCUGGAUGCGCGAAAGCCAGGGGAGCGAACGGGG
rnacentral:rRNA from 1 species